UGAAAUCCUCCCCAUCCAUUGUUGUAAGCAUCAAAGCACCGCCUGAAAAGGCUCCCUUAACAACAUAUGGACCCUCGUAGUUUGGAGUCCACUUGCCCCUGGAAUCGGGCGCGAAAGACAAGACUUUCUUGAGCACGAGGUCACCUUCUCGGAACACACGAGGCUUGACCUUCUUAUCAAAUGCUUUCUUCAUUCUCUGUU
rnacentral:lncRNA from 1 species